rnacentral:rRNA from 1 species
UAGAGUUUGAUCAUGGCUCAGAUUGAACGCUGGCGGUAUGCCUUACACAUGCAAGUCGAACGGCAGCAUGACGUGUAGCAAUGCACGUUGAUGGCGAGUGGCGAACGGGUGAGUAAUAUAUCGGAACGUGCCCUGUAGCGGGGGAUAACCUAUCGAAAGAUGGACUAAUACCGCAUACGCUCUACGGAGGAAAGCGGGGGUCGCAAGACCUCGCACUAUAGGAGCGGCCGAUAUCGGAUUAGCUAGUUGGCGGGGUAAAAGCCCACCAAGGCGACGAUCCGUAGCUGGUCUGAGAGGACGACCAGCCACACUGGAACUGAGACACGGUCCAGACACCUACGGGUGGCAGCAGUCGAGAAUUUUUCUCAAWKGGGGRAAMCCYKRARGRAGCGACGCCGCGUGGAGGAUGACGGCUUUCGGGUUGUAAACUCCUGUCAUUUGGGAACAAAGCCUUACGUUAACUGCGUGGAGGUUUGAUAGUACCAGAAGAGGAAGAGACGGCUAACUCUGUGCCAGCCGCCGCG